GGCGCACGGGUGAGUAACACGUGGAUAAUCUUCACUCUGGCGGGGGAUAACCUUCCGAAAGGAGGGCUAAUACCGCGUAUGACCACGGCCUCGAAAGGGGCAGCGGUAAAAGCAGGCCUCUAUACAUAAGCUUGCACCAGAGAAUGAGUCCGCGGCCAUCAGCUAGUUGGCGGGGUAAUGGCCCACCAAGGCAAAGACGGGUAGCUGGUCUGAGAGGAUGAUCAGCCACACUGGAACUGAGACACGGUCCAGACUCCUACGGGAGGCAGCAGUGGGGAAUCUUGCGCAAUGGGCGAAAGCCUGACGCAGCGACGCCGCGUGAGUGAUGAAGGCCUUCGGGUUGUAAAGCUCUGUGGGGAGAGAAGAAUAAGUGUUGGCUAAUAUCCAGCAUGAUGACGGUAUCUCCUUAGCAAGCACCGGCUAACUCUGUGCCAGCCGCCGC
rnacentral:rRNA from 1 species